rnacentral:lncRNA from 1 species
CUGUCUGUAGAAAACCUUUUGUAUCUGAAAACACGACUCCAAAGAAUCAAAGCCCCAGAAAUUACUAGCACCAUGAUUGCAAAACCAAUCAGUGAAAGCCCUAUAAUUAAAAUAUCCGUAUGAACUUUCCCAUUCCCAUCUUUAGGUUCAUCAGCAUGUUUUCUUGGUUCAUUAAUGGAUGAAUAUAUACCUACCUUGAUCAAAGCGAUGUUUGAAUUGCUAAGGUUCCUUCUCCCAUAUCUCAAAGGAAGCCUUUGCUUCGUGCAGUUUCCAUCAUUAAACAUGGCAGCCUCACAGUUGCAAUCCUCAUAGCAUGCUGUCUCACAUUCUUCUCUGGUUGUUGAAGUCACCUCAGAAUAUCCAGUAUCUUCCCAUACAGUGUUUUCAGCUGCCUGAAUGGUAUACUGGAUUUUCCCAUCAUCGUUUUUACAGCUGUCGCUGGAGAAACUCCUCUCGCAGCCAGCAGUGAAAUUUCCUUCUAUAACUGGAGCAAAUCCUGGAAGACAUCUACAAUUAGCUUCUCUAUCUACAUCAACGCAAUAACCAUUAAGCCCACAUAGACCCUUGGGUGCACACUUGUCUGACGUAGAUGACCAUAUAACUGAUCGAUUGCCGUUCCGAUCGAAUCUGUAAGAAUAGAGUCGAAAGAUGCCAUCGGAAUCAAUUUUUAUCAGAUAAAUUGUUCUAUUUGUAUCAUCAUACCCUCCUGUGGUUAGAUCCUUUAUGUUGAAGCCUGUUGAAUUGAGCAUGUACAAAUGACCAUCAUUGUCGAGAUUCAGGCUCACGUUAUCUCCCUUACCAUCUGUAAAGGAUGACCAAUAAGAAUAAGGUGCUGUGUCAGGAGUGUCCACAGGGUACUGUACCAAGUUUCCAUCAUGCUGCAUCUUAAGACGAAAUAUACCAGUUGACUGGUCAGUUUCCGAGACACUAGAGAACAGCUCCAUCCCUUCUGAGAGACGCUGUCCUUGUAGAAUGCUAGUGGUUGGAUAUUGGAAGCUCUGCCAUAUAAUGUCCUCGCCAGAGUUGAAUACAACGAAAUUGCCCGUAUCAAGCACCGAAGCUGCAGCAAUUUUCUGAGAAGCAUUUGUGACGAUGUAUACGUCUCGUCUUGGCAGUGACUGAAGAAUAAGCCUUCCAUCGGUUGUAAGAACUAAGCUAGCAGUGCUUGGAACAGGAGGAGCAUCUCGGUUGGCUGUCCAAACCACUGUCCUUUGAGGAACUCCAGCAAGGAAAACCCCAACACCAUAGCCCUUACUUUGGGGAUAAAACCCAAAGCCAUAGAGACCAGAAGGGGAUAGCCAUGCGGAUUUGCCGGUGGUAGUGGGUGUCAAAGAUGAGCCCAAACGUAUAGUGGAGUUCCAUGGUUGAGCUACUGCAUGGAAAUGAAAGGAAAAGAAGCACACAAGGAAAAUAAAUGAGAUGGCGACCAUGGCUGAGGCCUAAAUGGUAUAAUAUCCCUUUAGAUUACAGGGCAUAUCGUUUUAUAUAUAUGGUUUAACAAGGUUUGAUUGUUAAUACAUUGAAUGAAAUUUCCCAUCUUACUUUUUUGAUAGGAUAGUUAUCACGGUUUUUUACAAAAAUAAUACAAAAAAAUAAAAAAAAAAUCAAAAUAAUACAAGUAUUUUAUUAUGUACCAAAAUGAUACAAACAGGAGUAGAGGGACUGCUAGCACCGCCCCCUUAUAUUAAUUUAGUGUGUUUUUUUAUAAAUUUAGUAAAAAACCUUUAUUUUAGUUAUCUGUUCGUAUUUUUUUUAUUUUCAGAUUAUUUUAUUUUAUAUUAUUUUAGUACAUAAUAUUUGAAAUGUAUUAUUUUAGUGUUUUUUAUAUAAAUUUAGUGAAACCCUUAUUUUGUCCUUUUGUUCGUAUUUUUCUCUUUUUUUUUUUAGAUUUUAUUACUUUCAGUAAAUAUACUAUUUUCAUUUUUUAUUUCUUUUCGUAUUUUAUUUUUUCAUAAACAUAUUUUUUCGGUAUUUUAUUUUUAAUACUAUUUUUGUAAAAAAAUCUCAUUACAACAUGCUAAAUAAAUUUCAUAAAAAAUAUAUCUAAUCAACAUAAAACACACUUAACAAAUAAAUUAAAUUAAAUAAUAAAACAUAGAAUGUACAUAACAUAAAUAAUAAAACAUAGAAUGUACAUAAGACAAAAAGUAAAUUUAAAACCAAUCACAUUAUAAUAAUAACAACAAAAAUAAAAUACGAAAAGACAUAAAAAAUGAAAAUAGUAUAUUUACUGAAAGUAAUAAAAACUGAAAAAAAAGAGAGAAAAAUACGAACAAAGGGCCAAAAUAAGGGUUUUUCACUAAAUUUAUAUAAAAACACACACUAAAAUAAUACAUUUCAAACAUUAUGUACUAAAAUAAUAUAAAAUAAUAAAAUUCAAAAAUAAGAAAAAUAUGAACAAAUGACCAAAAUAAGAGUUUUUUUACUAAAUUUAUAAAAAAACACACUAAAUUAAUAUAAAGGGGCGGUGCCACCUGUAGCAGUCCCUCCACUCCUGUUUGUACUAUUUUGGUACAUAAUAAAAUGUUUGUAUUAUUUUAAUAUUUUUAUUAAUUGUUUUGUAUUAUUUUUGUAAAAAAUCCUCACUAUGCAGUUUCGUCCUAGAGAAGUUGGUCAUGACUCAUAUGCGUAGAUUUCCAAAGGGGACCAAUCAUCGAUUGGCUACUUCAGUCCACUCAUGAGCUGAUAUUUAUAAUUUGAGAGGAAAAUCUAGCCAUGGUACUUCAGUCCAAUUACAAAUUUUCAAUUUCAACCUUCAACAUAUUUUUACAUCUUAUCGAUGAAGCAGUCAAACACGGAAGAUGGUCUCAGUUUAUUUUGCCAUUUUUCUAGUCAAAAGGUGAAUAAAAAGAAAUCUCAGAUAUAGUUAUGGGAUCGUGAUGGUGUGAUUAGAGGUAUUCAAAUUUUGAUUAAAAUUAAAUUUAUUAAUUAAACUGAUGUAAUUCGAUUAAUCUAUCGGUUAAUUGAUCUAGUUCGGUUGGAGUUCAAUUAAAAGUUUUUUGAAAAUUCAUUUAACUGUUAAUUCGGUUCGAAAUCAGGUAAUUAACUGGUAAUUAAUCGAAUUAACCGAAAUUAAUAAAUAAUAUUAUGUAUUAUAUGUAUUAGGCUAUUACUAAUUCGGUUAAUUCGAUCAAAUAAACAUUAUCAAUUUUUUAUAUCUUUUAUACUUAUUUUAAUAAAAAAAAACAAAACAUAUAAAUUUCGGUUAAAACUAAAAUAUUUCGGUUCGAUUAAUUUUUUUAGAAAAUAAUUUAGUUCGAUUAAUGGUUAAAGAAUUAAAAUUUUUAGUUAAUUCGAUUAAUACUAAUUUAGUUCGAUUAACCAUUUGAACACCCUUAAAUAUAAUUAUACUCGAUUUUCAGUCACUCACAUUUCUCGAAAAAUUUAAUUUGGUAUCAUUCAAGGUUAUACUGUAUUGCUUUUGUGAAACUUAAUGUAAGCUUUUACAUUGAAUUGGAUCUCACCAGAUCCCAUCUCAUUAAAUAGAUGUCAUCUCAUAUUUCGGUAAAAAAAAAUACAUAUAAAAAUAUAAAUAAAUGAAUAUUCAUUUUUCAAAUUUUAUUUAUUAAUUUUUUUUAAAAUCUACAAAGAAUAUUUCAAACUUUUCCCUUUUUAUUUUAUAAAUAAUAAUUUAUUUAUUAUACAUUUAGUCUUGUUCCUUAGCUCUCACUAAUUUUGUUGAGCACUGGGCACUACCUUCGCCCACAACCACCGAUACUAAUAACUCUUAUUUCGAAUUAGAGGUUAUCAUGGGUUGGGUUGAAUUUGGGCCGAGUCUCAAUAGAAUUUUAAGCCUAUUUUCUAGGCUCGAGUCCAAUCUGAAAAAUGGGCUUAAAAUUUUGCCUAAGCUUAACCUAGAUAAAAAUACCAAAACUUGAGUCUGACCCGGCCCACUUGUACUAAAUUUUUUAUAUUAUUAUUUUUAUAUAAAAGCGAAUUUAAAAAUAUAAUAUAUCAAAUAAACUAAAAACAUUAAAAUAAAUGUUUUCCGAUAAAUUGAAAAUAAAUUUAAAAAUUAUUUAUACUUAAAUAACACUAAGAUAGGUGUAACUUAGCAAACAAAUACCUCUAAAGUGGUGGCAAAAUUAACAAUAAAACAAGAGUUAUACAAUAUUCAAAAAUAACAACAAAAUAGUAACAAUGUAAUAGCGAAACGACACCAAAAUAGUGACAAAACAUCAACAAAAAUAGUGAAAAUAAUAGCAAAAAGCAACAAUUUUUUUUUUGGCAAAUUUGCGUCGGACAGGGCCCGAUACAAAAAAAGCUUACCCAAAGCCUGCCUUGUUCAGAUAACGGUCUUCGUUUUUUUACCCAAACCCAUUUUUCAAGCCUAUAUUUUUACUCAAAUCCUCUCACUUUGUUAAAGUGAGUAUUCUAUCAUCGAUUUCCACAUCUUUCGCCAUUGUGCCAGGAAUCAAUUGUGGAGGGGUCUCCAAGACUUCAUUAUCAAGUCUUGGUCAACUCGUCAAACCUAUGGAAGCUAAUAAAUGUGGGAUUUUCCUUUUGAGAAAAUAUAAGUGGUUUACUUUUGGUCACAUUAUCAGUUUGUCUUUCUUCUCAUGCUCAACUUUUGUCAAUAUUCUGGAACCACUUGUGUUUGUUUAAGGUUAAAUUUUGCUCUUAGUCCCUGUACUUUGUGAAAGUUAUGAAUUUAGUUUUUGUAUUUAAAUUUGAUCAAUUUUAGUCACUAUACUUUUCAAAUUUUAGAAUUUUAGUCCUAACCCAAAUACUAUUAGUUAAAUUCAUUUUAUUAAACUAAAUUACUAGUUCUAUACUUUGCAUGCUAUUGCAGAUUUUAUCUAUAUUAUCCAAUCAGAUCAUUUCAACUUAAUUUCUAUAUUGUUCGAAUUUUGAAUGAUUGUCAUUAAUCCGUUACUUGGAUUCGUAGUGAGUAUUAUAUGGAAAUACCAAGCUAACAUGGAAUUACACAUAUGAUAAUAUGUUCGGCACAUCAGAUUUUGAAAAUAGAAAAUUUUAACUUAAUGAAUUAACAAUAAUUGUUUGGUGAGGAUUGAAGUCUUAAAAUUUGAAAGGUAUAGGAACUAAAAUUGAUCAAAUUAAAGUAUAGAGACUAAAUACACAACUUUCACAAAGUAAAGGGACUAACAUCACAAUUUAAUCUCUGUUUAACGCACCCCUGAAAGAAACAUUCUUCUGAAAAGUCCUUGCAUACAAGGGAGCUUAAAAAGUGGGAACACAUCCAUCUUGUACUCCUUUGCUUGUGCCUCUAAUGGUGAAAGUUCAUAUAAUCCGGCAAUGAGUCGUUUUAUUAUUACAAUCAGUAGCAGUAAGGACCAAAUCGUUGGGGGUUCAUUAAUAUUACAAGCUUGAUUUAUUGGAGAUGAUAGUGCACAAGAAAUCAUCAAUUUCAGGAAAUAAAAAAUAAAGAGGAAACAGUGAAGCAAAUAUAAUAUCUAAAAUACAUGACACAACUAAAUAGAACUGAAAAAUAAAGUUGGGUAGGGAGGUACGGGGAUCUCAACUGUCCCUUCCAACAUCAACAGUACCUUCUUCAUGGAAGGGCGCAGUGUUGGUUCAUCCAGGAUGCACCACAGUCCUACAAUCACCAUCCUUUCAAGUUGUUUUAUAUCCACCUCCUCAUCUUCCCCUACUAUCUUCCCUACCUCACCGGCUUGGUAACAAUCGUAGACCCAUUCUUCAAGGAUAGCUUCUUUUUCCUUGAGGCUCCAAUUUACACUCCGUCGACAACAUAUGAUCUCCAAUAAUACGAUCCCGAAGCUGUAAACAUCUGCUUUCACUGUCACCGGUAGUUUCCUGUGCCACUCUGGUGCAACGUACCCCCUUGUUCCUCUGAUCCCAGUGAAGGUCUUGGUUUGGUCUGGCUUUAGCAACUUGGCCAAUCCGAAAUCGGAUAUUUUCGCUUGACCGUUUUCGUCCAUUAGUAUGUUCUGAGACUUGAUGUCACAAUGGAUUAUUUGAGUCUCGCAUUCUUCAUGAAGAUAGAGGAGACCUCGAGCUACGUCGCGAGCGAUUUCCACCCUAUCGAUCCAACAAGGUCGUCUUUCGGGUGUAAAGAGUACAUCGGAAAGUGAUCCAUUGAUCAUGUACUCGUAUAUCAAGAGCCUAUUGGCUCCAUCAUGGCAGUAUCCUAGUAGACGAACUAAGUUUCGAUGAUGAGUUCUCCCAAUGAUUUGCAUCUCGUUUUGGAACUCUCGUUCGCCUUGCUCUGAUAUGUUGUCCAAUCUCUUCACUGCCACAAAUUUUGUUAAACCAUUCAACAUUACCGUCCCUUUGAAAACGGUCCCAAAUGCUCCUUUCCCGAUUUCUUCCUGGAAAUUAUCAGUCAUCGCCACGAUUCCUGCAAAACUAAACGAAAUAGGAGCAACUUUCUCGCACAAUCUUAUGUUGCUGUCUGUAGAAAACCUUUUGUAUCUUAAAACACGACUCCUAAGGAUCAAAGCCCCAGAAAUUACCAACACCAUGAUUGCAAAACCAAUCAGUGAAAGCCCAAUGAUUAAAACUUUCCCAUUCCCAUCUUUAGGUUCAUCAGCAUGUUUUCUUGGUUCAUUAAUGGAUGAAUAUAUACCUACCUUGAUCAAAGCGAUGUUUGAAUUGCUAAGAUCCCUUCUCCCAUAUCUCAAAGGAAGCCUUUGCUUCGUGCAGUUUCCAUCAUUAAACAUGGCAGCCUC